rnacentral:rRNA from 1 species
AUUGAACGCUGGCGGCAUGCCUUACACAUGCAAGUCGAACGGCAGCAUAGGAGCUUGCUCCUGAUGGCGAGUGGCGAACGGGUGAGUAAUAUAUCGGAACGUGCCCUAGAGUGGGGGAUAACUAGUCGAAAGACUAGCUAAUACCGCAUACGAUCUACGGAUGAAAGUGGGGGAUCGCAAGACCUCAUGCUCCUGGAGCGGCCGAUAUCUGAUUAGCUAGUUGGUGGGGUAAAAGCCUACCAAGGCAACGAUCAGUAGCUGGUCUGAGAGGACGACCAGCCACACUGGGACUGAGACACGGCCCAGACUCCUACGGGAGGCAGCAGUGGGGAACUUUGGACAAUGGGGGCAACCCUGAUCCAGCAAUGCCGCGUGAGUGAAGAAGGCCUUCGGGUUGUAAAGCUCUUUUGUCAGGGAAGAAACGGUAGUAGCGAAUAACUACUACUAAUGUCGGUACCUGAAGAAUAAGCACCGGCUAACUACGUGCCAGCCGCCGCUGUAA